UACGUAGGGGGCAAGCGUUGUCCGGAUUUAUUGGGCGUAAAGAGCGUGUAGGCGGCUAGGUAGGUCCGUUGUGAAAACUCGAGGCUCAACCUCGAGACGCCGAUGGAAACCAUCUGGCUAGAGUCCGGAAGAGGAGAGUGGAAUUCCUGGUGUAGCGGUGAAAUGCGCAGAUAUCAGGAGGAACACCAAUUGCGAAGGCAGCUCGCUGGAACGUUACUGACGCUGAGACGCGAAAGCGUGGGGAGCAAACAGG
rnacentral:rRNA from 1 species